AGAGAAUCCUUUUCCUGGUUUAUUAUGUCAUACUCAAUACACCAGGGUGGCUGAUAUAUGAAUUGAUAUCACCUGUUAUCCUCGUCAUUCACAUAUGUUAAAUGCACUUGUAGCCAUAAUACAUACACCUUGAUAUCUACCACAGUCAUGCUUAGCACUUGGACUGGCACGUUGCUCACAUCUCUUUCUAAUCCUUUCUUCAUAAGCUUUUUCUAAGCUUACAUAUUUUCAUCGGCUACCCAUUUAGAAAAGCUCAACUAUACAUAUGUAAAAAGGUUUCAGUAAGAAUGCAUAACCAACUAAAUUAUUAGCACAAACACAAUAAAUAAAUAAAUAAAUAAUAAUGUUUGUACCUCCAAUAUGCUAUCAAGAAUUAAUAACAUCCUUCAGUGAACCAUUGCGCUGAUUUGAACGCUGAUUUGAACGCUCUGACUCAUUAGGCCUUUCUUUACAAGGACAAAAUCACGAAAAGGCAAAAUAAAGCAAAGAGCUCACCUUGCAAAAUUAGGAAAGGGAGCUUUCAAUUGGAAGAAGAAGUUGGCCCCGAGACAAUGGUCCACACAAAUGGAGGCAAAAGUUCAUGUAAAGAACACAAAUCAAAGCAUGCACCACAUAAAUAGAGAAUCAUCCGAAACUCAAAUCAUCGGAAUAAAACAAGAGAUCUUAUUAGCCUUUGCUAACUUGGAAAUCUAAAAUCAAAACAUCAAAUCACCAAACAAAGGUGAGUAAGAAAACAGAACUUAAAAAAUAAAAAACAGAAUGAAAUAUGAACACAGAGCAGAAAUUAGCCGCUACAGAACAUUUAUAACCAAGAAGUGACCAGCCCUAUUCAAUAGCAUCAUCAUCCUAAUUCCCAAGUCAUACCCUUUGCUAAAAACUCUUUUAAGUCAUGCAUUUUCUAACUAUGAUUGUAUUGCUUUUGACUCUAAAGACAGUAAAUGUUCCAACUUGUCUAAGGCUACAAAAAUAUGUUAAUGAUGGUAAACUUGACUUAAAACAAAUACGUUCCCUCCAAUAUGAGUUCUCUCUAUCUUGGUUCUAAACGUGGUAAACUUGGUUUAAAACAAAUAAGCUCUCUCUAUCUGCAACCCUUAGAACACCUAGUUUAAGUAUGCAACAUUUUAUCUUAAUUAAAUUCAGAAAGUUGAAUAUGGCUUUAAGGCAUUUUACAAAUAGGUUUUGGGCACUAAUUAGGAUGGAGAAAAAUACUACAGAGAGUAAACAGAGCAGAAAUUAGCUGUUAUGGAACAUUUAUAACCAAGAGGUGACAAUCGCAACUGUAUUUGAUUGAAUUCAACUUUUCAUCCAUUCACAAUAUUCAUCAUUUUCCAUGAUUAAUGAUUCUAGAGAAUGAAAUGUUUGAAAUGAGAAUGAGUUCUUCAAUUGUUUAAGUUGCUCCUGAGAUGAGUAUGUGUUCUGUGUUUGUUUCAUGGAUACCCAAUUAAUUGGAGAACAAGAUUAGAUAACCCAAAAAAUGAAGAAACUUCACCGUGCUUUUCGGAUGACAAAAUUUUGCCACCACAAUAGUGGUGGCGAACUCUGCUCGGCAAACAAUAGCUCAUCCCUAUUCCUCGAACAAGACCCUGCCUCUCAUUUUUUUCUCUUUUUUUUUUGUUAAUUUGGUUUGAAGAGACAAAAUAUGCAAGGGAAAAAGAAAUCACGCAAAAGUGGGGAAAUCCAAUUGUUUUAAAUUCAAGAGUUAGCUACUUGCAUGAAAUUAUUAUUCUAAAUUCAAGAGUUAGCUACUUGCGUGAAAUUUCAUAAGUGACUUGGCACAAAAACUGCCUUCCUUUCCUGGAAAAAAAAAAAGAGAACCAAAAAUUAUACAUUUAACCCAUCAAUCAUGCUGAACGCUCAUCUGAAGUGGCCUGAAUUUAACAUCAAAGAAUCUUUGGAACUAAUUUCACUACCAUGGCAUAUUUCGACAAUCUAAGCUUGCUCAGACUCAAAAAAAAAAAGUAUAGCUAAUUGUCAAAAAAAAAUACAUCAUCUUUUCUUAGCUUUACAUUGCAUAAAUUCAGGGCUAACAAGUUCAUAUUGUUAGACCACCAUUCAUUUAUUGAAGUUAGGAAUAACACCUAGACCAACUGUAAUAACCUCUCAAUAUGUUUAGAAAAUCACCUAUAUUUUUCUUGUUACUUGGUUUUGGAUAGAAAAGUUAGUUGUAAUGCCUCUGGAAUACAAAUACCUUAAUGUAAUUCCUUUAUAAUAGUUUGUCUGUUGACAACCUAAUUAAACUCAUUCAAAAAAAAAAUUGAACUUGCAAAUUUGGUGUUCAACACCUUUUAAUUUGAUUAGUUUCCUGCGUAAUUUCUAAUGUUUUAAAUCUCAAAUAUAGAAAAUGAAUUGGAUAUAUUCAUAGGCUAGAUUACAAACUACAUUAGCUAAACCCACAAAGUAAAAUAGGAAAAGGAUAAAACACAUACACACACACAAACACAAAGUGAAACAGAAAGUAUGAAAUGCCUGGCCGUGUCUUACUCUUACACAAGGAAAAUUAAAGAAAGAAAAAGAGAAAAAUAGCAUCCAAUUGGCCUUCCAUUUAUUCCUUUCUGUUCUGUAGUUUUUUUGGUUCUUUUUGGAAACUUAUUAGUUUAUAAUGGAUUAAACUAUACAGAUAUUAUAAUAAGAAAAGGUUAUAGGAACUGCAAAACCUGUUAGGUGCGGUUUAUGAGAAGAAAAAUCAAUUGCUCCAAUACAUUAUAAAUGAGGUGUUAAAAAAAAUGACAAAUUAAUGCUCCACCAGUUUUGAUAUCAAAGAAGUUGUUGCUCAAUAUAAACGUCUACAUCUGGCUACGUCAAUUUUGCAACAGUUUGCCAACUUGUUACAAAAGAUUUGAAAGGUAUUUUAUUUUCAACAGAAUCUAAAACCAAAUGAAUAUUUCGAAGUGGUUAAACAAAAUGCUCAUGGGUUUGGUUGCCAAUUCAUGUACUAAUCACAAAUCAAGAACUACUUGGUUUCUAUCCAAGUGGACAUUUUCAUUGGCUUGGGUAUUAAGCAUCGAAAGUCUCUUACUUAUUUUCUUUAUUCAUAACCGUUGACAAUGACACCAGUUUUUUCGCUCUGCAAUUUUCAAAUUUACGUGAACCAUAUAAUGUACUAUGUAAACACAGGAAGGGAACCAUAAUGUCAUAACAAAUUACAAAAAACAAAAAAACAAGCAAAUACCAUAUCACAAUCGAAACAUGCAUUGAUGAAAUUACAUUAAACCAAUCCAAAACAUCAAACAAUUUUCUGAAACGGAGAAAAACUAACACACAAUAAUUGUAGAUGUUAAAUGAGGACAUAUAGCGAAUAUAUGGUGUGCACGUCAAAUAAGUUUGAAUGACCUGUCUAAAAAUACAGCCCUUAAUCAUAAAACAAAAGACAUCAGCACAACAAACAAAUCACAUCAAUGCGACUUUCAAUUAUGAUCAGCAAAUUGAUAAACUCAAAACCGAUAAGCUAAUAGACAUAGAGUGAAAAGUUCACCUUUCAAAACCAUCGAAACUUCACAAUGCUCUUCUGGUGAAGAAAUUCAACGACAAUGGCUAUGGCAGUGGCGGUGGUGGAUUCCGGUCAACAGGCAAUGACUCCUCCGUGCUCCUCGGACUCCCUUUUUUGUGGCUUUGCUAUUACUUUCCCCUUCUUCUCUAUUUCUUGUUUGCUUGUAAUGGGAUGGAGUUAGAAAACUUGUAUGCGUUUUUAGUGAUGUGCAUCAAUGAUUCUUGGAGAUGAAAUCUUUGAGAUAACAGUAGUGGCUUCUUCAUAAUUUUAGCAGUUAAAAAACAAUAAACUGCUGCAUUAGUUAACCCAAACUGAAAGAAAACAUGCGUCAAAAAUGAAUGGUAACGAGGUUUCUACCAACCGCUUCCUACCCCUCCAAGAAGUACUCCUGUCCAACUAACAAAACCAAAUGCCCUCAAAGAACAACAAUGAAGGACUCACUCUUGCAGCUACCAAAGAACGCUG
rnacentral:lncRNA from 1 species